CUUAACUUAGAAAUGUUAAACCAAGACAUAAGAAAAUUCCCGUGGUUCUACCAAGUUCCUCAACCAAAAUUUACGGAUAAUCGUGUAUUGCUUGGUGUCUGUGCGCAAGUUUAAGAAAGGAUACAACAGUACAAUAUCUACAUAAAUAUGGAUACAGAUCUGCACAAGCAUUCCAGAAGGUCUGGAAGCUACCUGAGACAACAGGAGAAAUGAACCAGGGCU